GUUCACAGAAGAGGUGGCACUUGAACUUGGCUUUGAAUAUGAGCAAAUCUGGAUAUGUAGAAACAGGAGAUGUGGAGUGACAGGAUAAACAGUAUCAUCAAUGAACAGGGGGAGAGAUUACAGUCCCCAAAGCAAGACAGAGCCCAGGAUCUUGGACUCAAGGUCAGAAAAGGGUUAUCCUUUUCUGAUUGAAGGUUUCAAUUAAGGAGAAUUUCACUGCUAUAGCUCAAAGAAAAUUAACUUGGAAAUGUGAUAUGCCAUGAAAAGAAACUCAAAUGACAUUAGAAAGAGAGAAGUAAUCAUCUCAUCAGAAGCUAUAAUAAUGCAAGGUACCAUUUGGAUUCUCAUGGCACGCCUACCCAUUAGACAGGCCCUCUCUGUACUGAUGAUGGCAUACAUUAAUUCACAUAUGGAAUUCAAUAAGUGACCAAGCCAGAGCAUGACACAUCUUUUGGAAAUUAUGCCUCGAUGCAUGAUGUGGCCAUCACUUUGUUCAGCCUCAUGACUCAGCUUGCAGUUCUGCACAACGGAAUAAACCACCACAGCACUACAAUCUGUUUGUAGUAGAGGGGGCACAUGGACAACCAUUCUGGCAGAAGCUUUCUGUUCUCCAGCAUCUGUCAUGCUGGAGGAGAGUGCACCAAUGAUUUUGGCAUACACCAAGGAUAGCAAAUUGGUUUCGUUUUAGGAGCCUACUCUGAUGGAAAAAUAAAGAAUUCAAAAAGCUCUAUCUUGAAAAAGACAAGAACUGGGUUGAUGAAGAAAAUGCAGCAUUUAUCAGAGCUAUCUGACAUAGGAAGUGGAGAAUGGUGGUACAUCUGCCAAGUUAACGGCAAUAACUUUAUUCCAGGGGUGAAACGAAGUCUUCAGAUAUUUACUAAUGUAUCAAGGCAAAUUGGAGAUUUUGAGUCAACAGGAAAAGUUGAUUCUUGAUGGAUCUCUCUAUUAAAAGAAGACAAUGAUCCAUAAGAAACUAUAUUGUCAGUGCUUUUCUCUGUCAUUUGUCCAGAAUUAAACUUCCACAAAUGUGUAAAUAA